rnacentral:rRNA from 1 species
UACGUAGGGUGCGAGCGUUGUCCGGAAUUACUGGGCGUAAAGAGCUCGUAGGUGGUUUGUCGCGUUGUCCGUGAAAUUCCCUGGACUUAACUGGGGCGUGCGGGGCGAUACGGGCAGACUGGGAGUACUGCAGGGGAGACUGGAAGUUCCUGGUGGUAGCGGUGGGAAUGCGCAGAUAUCAGGAGGAACACCGGUGGCGAAGGGCGGGUCUCCGUGGGCAGUGAACUGACGCUGGAGGAGCGAAAGCGUGG